GUUGUCCGGAAUUAUUGGGCGUAAAGAGCUCGUAGGCGGUUUGUCGCGUCUGUCGUGAAAGCUUGGGGCUUAACCCCAAGUCUGCGGUGGAUACGGGCAGACUAGAGGCAGGUAGGGGAGAACGGAAUUCCCGGUGUAGCGGUGAAAUGCGCAGAUAUCGGGAGGAGCACCGGUGGCGAAGGCGGUUCUCUGGGACUGUACUGACGCUGAGGAGCGAAAGCGUGGGGAGCGAACAGG
rnacentral:rRNA from 1 species